UCAGCUGGUUGCAAACAAUGGGCCAUCAAAGGGAGUUUGCUCAAGCUGAUUUUGGAGCAACAGAUAGUUUUGACUUGACAACCCAUUCCUCUGCAGACCUCAGCCAUGGCCUUAGACCCAGGGUGGGUCACCCCUUCAGACCUUCUCAAAGCUGAUGGGAGUGGAUGAGCCACCCUUGGCAUUGUGCCUCGUGCGUGUGACUCAGACGGAUUCUGCUUGUCUGAAGGAUUCCUGCAAGUCCUCAGAGUUGUCCAACCCGCCUGGGCUCAGCGCUGGAGCCCGUGAG
rnacentral:lncRNA from 1 species